CUUCUUGCAGCUGCGUCCAAUGAGAAGGCCAAGUCUUAGCGUUUAAGACUGGGUAAGUUGGGAUUUUCUGCAGAACCGAAUCCCUUUUGUUGUUGUGGAGAUCCCGAUUUUCCAUCGGAUGUGAGAUGAGACCUCCUUGAGUGACUGAUUUAAGGGGGGUUUGGUGGAGGGAAGUUAUUUCACAUAUUGAAUGGGUCAUCUCCAGUUGUGGGUGAAGUAUUAAAUUCUGGAAAAUUACUAUAUUCUACAGUGGUUGAGAUCAUCUCAACCUUUGGAUCAGCCGGUUCUUCCCUUCCAGUAGCUUCGCCUAUCAAAGCUGAAGGGGUAAUUGGAGAAGACGGCUUGAAACCCAGCUGCUUCAGGUUAUUUCCAUGGUCGUUCCGAUAUGGUUCAUAUUCUGGAGAAAGGCAUAAAUCUUCCCAUGAAGUGCUUCAAUUUGGUUGAUCAGAUUUUCCAUAUCAUAGAGGGAAGCGUUGGAAAGAUUUUUUUCCGGGGGUGGGGGGCGGUUUUAUGUGGAAAAGACAAAAGUUUGAGGAAGGGUUAAACUCAUCUUGACCCUUGAAUUUAAUUGAUAUUCAAAAUUAGUUAUAAUCCAAGUAUCCAACCUGAGCAAGUUGUGAUGAUCCCAGAUUGGGCCUAUUGAAUUCUUAUUCGGAAGGCAUCCCAAUAACUAAACUACUUAAGUAGUUAUUGGGCCUAUGGAUUAUUAUAUGGGGCCUAGGGCUCUUUUCUAAGAGUAAUUUGUAAGAUUUAUUGGGCCUGUUCCAAUUCCUUUUGUUUUCACCAUUUAAAAAAUAAAUUUCAUAUUUAAUUUCCGAUUUA